UGUGCACUGCGCAUUGAUGCUCGUGUGACACAUACGAACGAUCAAUUAUUUUUCAUGAUUAUUCGCAUAUUUACCGAUGAUCGAUCGCAAGAGUAUUUCAAUAUACCUUGCUUGCAGGUAAUAAAUCGUCGCGUGUGUGCGUUCCUUCAUUCCGGAACUCGUGCCCGCAUUUGUCAUCAGACUUCAGCCUUGGUGUGCGCGAAACGGAAUUUUUUAAUACGAAAGUAGACCUGUCUGAUGUAAUUUUCGUGAAUGUUGCGAUCACACGAAAAUCUCACUCCAUCGCGGUCGCCCAGCCGAGACACUCUCGUAGCCAGUAGAUAUCGACUCGCGCACAUUCCUCUCUAAGCAGGAGGCAGUUCGUUUGAAAUGACGCUGAAGUUUCCAACGUUGUAGUCCAACGAAAUGAUCUAAAAAAACUCUCAAAUAAUUCCAGUAAAUCUCCAAUUUUGUUCCCUGCCGAAUUUUCAAUUCAUCAUUUUUCAAGCCACAUCAAUAAUUCGUGAAAUAAAAAAAUAAUGAAUUAUAAAUCUUUUUUUCCUUCAUAUCGUUGAACUCCAACGUUGCAAACUUCAGCGUCGUCGUUUGAAUUAUUAUCCGUGAUAAUAAUCGACACCGAAGCUCGGUAUGAUUAUAACCGUCCGAUUGAAAAACUUGGCCACUGCCCGCUCCAAUUUUAGCAACGAGCUCCGACCACGAGACCUCAAAAUAAUCGACGGCUCGUGGUGCUUCUGGAAUCGUCGAAUUAUUUAUUUUUUCGAAAUUUUUAAUGUUAUUCCAUGUUGUAAGAGGAAAGGUACAGAAUGCGUUAAAAAUAAAGGCAAAUAUGAAUUA